AAAAACUCCAUUUUUUCUUGCUUAGAUCAACAAACUUUCUUCAGCGAAGUUGUUCCUUAACUUGUGAACUACAACAUAUCCAAAAUUGAGAUCCCUCGGAGCUGUAUAACUCAAGAAAUUCAGGUAUGAUGAAUGACUGGUUAUUAUUUUUCUGUCAACCCGUCAGAUUUGUUGUGAGCUUCGAAACUCCAUUUUUUAUUGUUCAGAUCAGCAUGCUUUCUUCAUUGAAGUUGUUCCUCAUCGUCUCUUUCAU
rnacentral:lncRNA from 1 species